rnacentral:rRNA from 1 species
UACGGAGGGUGCAAGCGUUAUCCGGAUUCACUGGGUUUAAAGGGUGCGUAGGCGGGCAUGUAAGUCAGUGGUGAAAUCUUCAGGCUUAACCUGAAAAUUGCCGUUGAUACUAUGUGUCUUGAAUAUCGUUGAGGUUUGCGGAAUAUGUCAUGUAGCGGUGAAAUGCUUAGAUAUGACAUAGAACACCAAUUGCGAAGGCAGCAGGCUAAACGAACAUUGACGCUGAGGCACGAAAGCGUGGGGAUCAAACAGG